AGAGUUUGAUCCUGGCUCAGGAUGAACGCUAGCUACAGGCUUAACACAUGCAAGUCGAGGGGCAGCAUGACGAUAGCUUGCUAUUGUCGAUGGCGACCGGCGCACGGGUGAGUAACGCGUAUCCAACCUUCCCCAUAGUAGGGCAUAGCCCGUAGAAAUGCGGAUUAAUACCCUAUGUUUUCCGAAGCAGACAUCUAAUUCGGAACAAAGGUUCACCGCUAUGGGAUGGGGAUGCGUCUGAUUAGGUUGUUGGCGGGGUAACGGCCCACCAAGCCUUCGAUCAGUAGGGGUUCUGAGAGGAAGGUCCCCCACAUUGGAACUGAGACACGGUCCAAACUCCUACGGGAGGCAGCAGUGAGGAAUAUUGGUCAAUGGGCGAGAGCCUGAACCAGCCAAGUAGCGUGCAGGAUGACGGCCCUAUGGGUUGUAAACUGCUUUUAUGCGGGGAUAAAGUUGGCUACGUGUAGCCAUUUGCAGGUACCGCAUGAAUAAGGACCGGCUAAUUCCGUGCCAGCAGCCGCGGUAAUACGGAAGGUCCGGGCGUUAUCCGGAUUUAUUGGGUUUAAAGGGAGCGCAGGCUGAUGAUUAAGCGUGACGUGAAAUGUAGCCGCUCAACGGCUGAACUGCGUCGCGAACUGGUUAUCUUGAGUGAGUUCGAUGUGGGCGGAAUUCGUGGUGUAGCGGUGAAAUGCUUAGAUAUCACGAAGAACUCCGAUUGCGAAGGCAGCCCACAAGGCCUUUACUGACGCUAAAGCUCGAAGGUGCGGGUAUCGAACAGGAUUAGAUACCCUGGUAGUCCGCACGGUAAACGAUGGAUGCCCGCUGUUUGCGAUAUACUGUGAGCGGCCAAGAGAAAUCGUUAAGCAUCCCACCUGGGGAGUACGCCGGCAACGUGAAACUCAAAGGAAUUGACGGGGGCCCGCACAAGCGGAGGAACAUGUGGUUUAAUUCGAUGAUACGCGAGGAACCUUACCCGGGCUUGAACUGCAGGAGAAGGAUACAGAGAUGUUGACCNUCGGGGCUCCUGUGGAGGUGCUGCAUGGUUGUCGUCAGCUCGUGCC
rnacentral:rRNA from 1 species